rnacentral:rRNA from 1 species
AUUGAACGCUGGCGGCAUGCUUUACACAUGCAAGUCGAACGGUAACAGGUCUUCGGAUGCUGACGAGUGGCGAACGGGUGAGUAAUACAUCGGAACGUGCCUAGUAGUGGGGGAUAACUACUCGAAAGAGUAGCUAAUACCGCAUGAGAUCUACGGAUGAAAGCAGGGGACCUUCGGGCCUUGUGCUACUAGAGCGGCUGAUGGCAGAUUAGGUAGUUGGUGGGGGAAAGGCUUACCAAGCCCGCGAUCUGUAGCUGGUCUGAGAGGAGGACCAGCCACGCUGUGACUCAGGCUCGGCCCUGACCCCUCUGGGAAGGAGCUUUGGGGUGUGUUUGACUAUGCGCGAAAGCCUGAUACUGCGAUGCCGCGUGCAGGAUGACGGCCCUCGUGUUGUAUACUGCUUCUGUGCGGAUCGAAUAGCCUGCGUCUAAUGUCCGCAGUUCAUGACGCUACCGCAAGAAUAUGCACCGGCUUACUACGUG